CCAUAGCCAUGGUGCGCCCCCUUCCUCCCUAUUGCUCCUUCUCGAGGAGUCCACUUCGGACACGGAUCCGGCCAACCCCAUCCAGGCUACCUACAGUGGCGGCGUCAGAAAAUGAAGGCUGGUUUCAAGAUGAAGAUAUUUUUUUCGUCGAUGCCGGCAACAGUAUUGUGUGCAUAUAUCAGAACGGACGAAGCAACCUAUUGAUCAGGUCUCUUUUAUAUCCCCACACAUAUUUUUUGUCAUAUCUUAUCUAUUUUGUCCAAUUGUUCCACAUUGAGUUCUAGUUCUACUCAUAUUGUGUAUUCGAACAAAAGAAUAGGCUUUACCAUGAGGUAUUUCUUGGGUAGGUAUGCGACUUUUUCAAGAUAGUUCUUCAGUUAUAUGUUUUUUCUUCAAAUUUUGAGCCAACAUGUUGAUUUCCGCCCCGGGCCCCCAAAUUCCUGGAGACGGCCCUGCGCAUGCGGCAGUGGAGCCUGGCCCUCUGCCGCUGGAGCAGCAAAGGCUGUGGUGGUGCAGUGCACCGCGACUCUGCGUGCAGUGCAGUAGGCGUGUGCCCCCUCGAGUACCUUGCAGUAUUGAGGCGUCAGCGAAUUCUUCUCCGUCGAGGACUUGCAGCUCGCCGGCGAGUGGCUCGUGGUUCACGCAGCUUGGGCGUGCAGUCCACUGCUCCGUCCAUCCUUCCCGUGCUCGCCAGCUCAACUCAGUGCACGACAAGCACAUGCGUAGUCCACUUAUCCCCUGCUCGCGGUCCUUUCCCCUACUUCGAACGUCAAAAGGGAAAGAAGAUGUUCAAAGGCGGCGGCGACGACCUGGAAGAGCAGUAUCCACCCAAUUGCCCCAUUUAUCAAUUUUCUUCUUGUUGGAAAUUACACUUCAUUGUAAAAACUGCAUUUCAUUACCAUGAUGGUGUGAUUAGCCUUCACGUAGGCUGCAGUUUUGUCUUAGUGCAAGUGUAGCCCGUAGAAAUUUUUUGAGUUUGGCUGAUGGAGAGUGUAGAUUUUCUAUAUGUGUGUCUGUAUGUGUAAAACAAUCAGAUAGAUUUGUAUGCUUUGAAGCUCA